rnacentral:rRNA from 1 species
UACGAAGGGGGCUAGCGUUGUUCGGAAUUACUGGGCGUAAAGCGCGCGUAGGCGGGUUUGUAAGUCAGGGGUGAAAUCCCGGGGCUCAACCUCGGAACUGCCUUUGAUACUGCUGAUCUCGAGUCCGGAAGAGGUGAGUGGAAUUCCUAGUGUAGAGGUGAAAUUCGUAGAUAUUAGGUAGAACACCAGUGGCGAAGGCGGCCACCUGGCCCGCAACUGACGCUGAGGCGCGAAAGCGUGGGGAGCAAACAGG